AGCGUAUGCGAGAGUAAUUGGAGUUCAUG
rnacentral:piRNA from 1 species